rnacentral:snRNA from 1 species
GGAUGUGAGAGCAAUCUGGCUGCCACUUGUCACCUCGUUGAUCUCCAGGGUUGAUUUGGCUGAUCUGGCCGACUAAGCAGGUGUCCCCUUCCUCCCUCACUCUCCAAGAGUGUGCAGCUUGGGGACAGGUGCACGUGGAGCAGUGAGAAUGACCCCCAACCCCACCCCAAUAGAGGAGGAUGGGUCUUUGGUCAGGGCUAUACGAGUAGCUGCACUCCCCUGCUAGAACCUCUGAACAAGCUCUCAAACAAAAACAUUAAAUUAGAGGAGGUAAUGUGGGCCAGAAGUGUUGGCAAAAAUCUCAAGCAUGAAGGCUACUAAGAACGAGAAUGGUCAGCAUGUUUU